rnacentral:rRNA from 1 species
AUUGAACGCUGGCGGCAUGCUUUACACAUGCAAGUCGGACGAGUGGCGAACGGGUGAGUAACGCAUCGGAACGUACCGAGUAAUGGGGGAUAACUGUCCGAAAGGACAGCUAAUACCGCCUAGUAUUCGAGCGGCCGAUGUCUGAUUAGCUGGUUGGCGGGGUAACGGCCCACCAAGGCGGCGAUCAGUAGCUGGUCUGAGAGGAUGACCGGCCACACGGGAACGGAGACACGGUCCAGACGCCUACGGGAGGCAGCAGUGGGGAAUAUUGCGAAAUGGGCGCAAGCCUGAUGCAGCCAUGCCGCGUGUGUGAAGAAGGCCUUCGGGUUGUAAAGCACUUUCAGCGGGGAGGCGUUACCCGCAGAAGAAGCACCGGCUAACUCCGUGCCAGCAGCCGCGGUAAUUC